UACGAAGGGGGCUAGCGUUGUUCGGAAUCACUGGGCGUAAAGCGCACGUAGGCGGAUCUUUAAGUCAGGGGUGAAAUCCCGAGGCUCAACCUCGGAACUGCCUUUGAUACUGGGGAUCUCGAGUCCGGGAGAGGUGAGUGGAACUGCGAGUGUAGAGGCGAAAUUCGUAGAUAUUCGCAAGAACACCAGUGGCGAAGGCGGCUCACUGGCCCGGAACUGACGCUGAGGUGCGAAAGCGUGGGGAGCAAACAGG
rnacentral:rRNA from 1 species